rfam:Anolis carolinensis chromosome 6, whole genome shotgun sequence.
AAAAAGACUUUUUUAAAAGCCACCUAGUCCAAGUAACAUGAUUCAU